rnacentral:rRNA from 1 species
GCGAGUCUUAAUAGGGCGCAUGAGUUAGGUGGAUCAGACCCGAAACCGAGUGAUCUAGGCAUGGCCAGGUUGAAGGUACGGUAACACGUACUGGAGGACCGAACCCACAUCCGUUGAAAAGGAUCGGGAUGAGCUGUGCCUAGGGGUGAAAGGCCAAUCAAACUCGGAGAUAGCUGGUUCUCUGCGAAAUCUAUUUAGGUAGAGCGUCAUCCGUAUACCCUCGGGGGUAGAGCACUGGAUGGGUAAUGGGGCCCCACAGGCUUACUGAUCCUAACCAAACUCCGAAUACCGAGGAGUACUAGAUGGCAGACACACGGCGAAUGCUAACGUCCGUCGUGGAGAGGGAAACAACCCUGACCUACAGCUAAGGCCCCUAAUUCAUGGCUAAGUGGGAAAGCAGGUGGGACGACCAAAACAACCAGG